CUCGCAUUUAAUUUACACGUUGUUAAACUUCGGUACCGUAAGCGCACAAAAUUUCUCCGCACAAAUAUAGGCUCUCGAUGAUUAGAGUGUCUCACCAAUAGGGGCGAAUUCUCUUGGUGGAAAUAAAACAUCUCACGAUAGUCUACAGUGGAUUGAUUUAAUUUCGCUCGCGGUUCAAACCAAUUUAGCACAAAAUAAAACCACCUUGGAUUGGAAGCUUGAAAGCCGAGGUGGAAAGGAUUGGAAAUCAAAGGCGAUCGCAUAAUUUUGAGAUCAUCUACCUCAAUUAUAAAUAAGUUAGAAAGGAAUAACCGAUCUUGGCAACAACAAAAAAAGGCAAUUU